CAUGUUCACGGUGCAUUCUUUAUGGAAUAUGUUGAGCAAACCUGGAGAAGCGUCAGCUCAAGAUAUUAUUGUUGUCAUUGCUGAGGAUCUUUACCUGAUACACUGACUUGGCCGAUCGGGACCAGCACUCCUGCUGUUGGACAGAAAGACAUCAACUCAGUGACUUGAGAUAUGACUGCACUAUGCUGUUGCUGUGACUCCAGUUAAUUCUACAAGACAUGCUGUGACACCAGGAGAGAUGAGUCCUCCGUCACAGAUGGUGUGGUCAGUGAAGAUGGUCGCCUGCAAGUUCAAGCUCAUUGCAUCUC